UGGCAUUGCAGCUGGUUGGCUCCAGAUAUUGCUGCUCCAAAAUCUGCUAACCUUGCAUAAUUGAAAUCACCAAUAUGCUGGAUAUAAGUUUGAACAUGAUCUUUCCAGAGAGAACUUGUCUUCAAAACAUCUCGUAGGGUUGAUAGAACUUCAAAAGAUGUUGCCUUUAUAACAUCGUCGUCUUUGUUGUACGGCUUCUCCUUGAGAUGAUCAACUUUCACUGUAAGGGGUUCCUCGCUGACCACCUCUGUCAUACGUAUCCGUCUGUGACCAAUAAGAAUAACCUGGUCUCCUUGAAUACUUGUUAUCUGGGCAAGUGUACCAACUUCA
rnacentral:misc_RNA from 1 species